rnacentral:rRNA from 1 species
AUUGAACGCUGGCGGCAGGCCUAACACAUGCAAGUCGAGCGGGGUUUUCGGACCUAGCGGCGGACGGGUGAGUAAUGCGUAGGAAGCUGCCCGAUAGAGGGGGAUACCAGUUGGAAACGACUGUUAAUACCGCAUAAUGUCUACGGACCAAAGUGUGGGACCUUCGGGCCACAUGCUAUCGGAUGCGCCUACGUGGGAUUAGCUAGUUGGUGAGGUAAUGGCUCACAAAGGCGACGAUCUCUAGCUGGUUUGAGAGGAUGAUCAGCCACACUGGAACUGAGACACGGUCCAGACUCCUACGGGAGGCAGCAGUGGGGAAUAUUGGACAAUGGGCGCAAGCCUGAUCCAGCCAUGCCGCGUGUGUGAAGAAGGCCUUCGGGUUGUAAAGCACUUUCAGCGAGGAGGAAGGGUGGUGUGUUAAUAGCACAUCAUUUUGACGUUACUCGCAGAAGAAGCACCGGCUAACUCUGUGCCAGCAGCCGCUGUAACAC